GACGAACGCUGGCGGCGUGCUUAACACAUGCAAGUCGAACGGAAGGCCCUGCUUUUGUGGGGUGCUCGAGUGGCGAACGGGUGAGUAACACGUGAGUAACCUGCCCUUGACUUUGGGAUAACUUCAGGAAACUGGGGCUAAUACCGGAUAGGAGCUCCUGCUGCAUGGUGGGGGUUGGAAAGUUUCGGCGGUUGGGGAUGGACUCGCGGCUUAUCAGCUUGUUGGUGGGGUAGUGGCUUACCAAGGCUUUGACGGGUAGCCGGCCUGAGAGGGCGACCGGCCACAUUGGGACUGAGAUACGGCCCAGACUCCUACGGGAGGCAGCAGUGGGGAAUAUUGCGCAGUGGGCGGAAGCCUGAUGCAGCAACGCCGCGUGCGGGAUGACGGCCUUCGGGUUGUAAACCGCUUUCGCCUGUGACGAAGCGUGAGUGACGGUAAUGGGUAAAGAAGCACCGGCUAACUACGUG
rnacentral:rRNA from 1 species